AGGGCGCGCAGAGCCGUGCAUGUGAUGAUAGGCGUGCGAGGCGGGGGAUCUGUGCGCCCUCUGUGAGCCACCGGAGCACGUCUCCUCCUCCCCGUCCGCUCCGAACCCCAUGUCUCCCUGUCCGAGUCUCCCACCUGCGCCCGGAGGAGAGCGCAUGCACGCGGCGGACGGAGGUGCGCGCGCUCCCGGUCCGGAGGAGAGGAGAGGAGAGCAGAGGGUGGUCAGCCAGGCCAGGGAGCGAAACAGGUCGGCUUUGCCUCAGCAGACUGAACCUGCAGCGGAGGAAGCGACCCUCUCCACACUGAGAUCUUUCCAAAUGAGCAGCGUGUCGGAGGGAGAAGUUUUCAUCUCUUCAAGGAUCACAGUGAGCGCCUGUGUGAUCGUCUGCAGCGCCCUGGGCUAAAGUCUUGGAGGUGCCAGAAAGAUUCCAGCUGCCAUGGCAGAAGCCGCCGCCUGAGCUUCCUAGUGACGCCCUACGACGGGGGAGGAUGGGUGAUGGGCCCGUGAAGCUCAGCGGCCUCUCU
rnacentral:lncRNA from 1 species